UGGGGAAUUUUGGACAAUGGGGGCAACCCUGAUCCAGCAAUGCCGCGUGAGUGAAGAAGGCCUUCGGGUUGUAAAGCUCUUUUGUCAGGGAAGAAACGGCUACGGAUAAUACCUGUGGCUAAUGACGGUACCUGAAGAAUAAGCACCGGCUAACUACGUGCCAGCAGCCGCGGUAAUACGUAGGGUGCAAGCGUUAAUCGGAAUUACUGGGCGUAAAGCGUGCGCAGGCGGUUUUGUAAGUCUGUUGUGAAAUCCCCGGGCUUAACCUGGGAAUGGCAAUGGAGACUGCAAGGCUAGAGUUUGGCAGAGGGGGGUAGAAUUCCACGUGUAGCAGUGAAAUGCGUAGAGAUGUGGAGGAACACCGAUGGCGAAGGCAGCCCCCUGGGUCAAGACUGACGCUCAUGCACGAAAGCGUGGGGAGCAAACA
rnacentral:rRNA from 1 species